rnacentral:rRNA from 1 species
GACGAACGCUGGCGGCGUGCCUAAUACAUGCAAGUAGAACGCUGAAGGAGGAGCUUGCUUCUCUGGAUGAGUUGCGAACGGGUGAGUAACGCGUAGGUAACCUGCCUGGUAGCGGGGGAUAACUAUUGGAAACGAUAGCUAAUACCGCAUAAUAGUAGAUGUUGCAUGACAUUUGCCUAAAAGGUGCAAUUGCAUCACUACCAGAUGGACCUGCGUUGUAUUAGCUAGUUGGUGGGGUAACGGCUCACCAAGGCGACGAUACAUAGCCGACCUGAGAGGGGGAUCGGCCACACUGGGACUGAGACACGGCCCAGACUCCUACGGGAGGCAGCAGGAGGGAAUCUUCGGCAAUGGACGGAAGUCUGACCGAGCAACGCCGCGUGAGUGAAGAAGGGUUUCGGAUCGUAAAGAUCUGUUGUAAGAGAAGAACGAGUGUGAGAGUGGAAAGUUCACACUGUGACGGUAUCUUACCAGAAAGGGACGGCUAACUACGUG